GAUGAACGCUGGCGGCGUGCCUAAUACAUGCAAGUCGAGCGAACAGACGAGGAGCUUGCUCCUCUGACGUUAGCGGCGGACGGGUGAGUAACACGUGGAUAACCUACCUAUAAGACUGGGAUAGCUUCGGGAAACCGGAGCUAAUACCGGAUAAUAUAUUGAACCGCAUGGUUCAAUAGUGAAAGACGGUUUUGCUGUCACUUAUAGAUGGAUCCGCGCCGCAUUAGCUAGUUGGUAAGGUAACGGCUUACCAAGGCAACGAUGCGUAGCCGACCUGAGAGGGUGAUCGGCCACACUGGAACUGAGACACGGUCCAGACUCCUACGGGAGGCAGCAGUAGGGAAUCUUCCGCAAUGGGCGAAAGCUUGACGGAGCAACGCCGCGUGAGGGAUGAAGGUCUUCGGAUCGUAAAACUCUGUUAUUAGGGAAGAACAAAUGUGUAAGUAACUAUGCACGUCUUGACGGUACCUAAUCAGAAAGCCACGGCUAACUACGUG
rnacentral:rRNA from 1 species